GCGGAGGAAAGGAAACCAACAGGGAUUGCCUCAGUAACGGCGAGUGAAGCGGCAAAAGCUCAAAUUUGAAAUCUAGCACCUUCGGUGUUCGAGUUGUAAUUUGAAGAUGGUAACCUUGGGUUUGGCUCUUGUCUAUGUUCCUUGGAACAGGACGUCAUAGAGGGUGAGAAUCCCGUCUGAUGAGAUGCCCAUUCCUAUGUAAGGUGCUAUCGAAGAGUCGAGUUGUUUGGGAAUGCAGCUCUAAGUGGGUGGUAAAUUCCAUCUAAAGCUAAAUAUUGGCGAGAGACCGAUAGCGAACAAGUACAGUGAUGGAAAGAUGAAAAGAACUUUGAAAAGAGAGUGAAAAAGUACGUGAAAUUGUUGAAAGGGAAGGGCAUUAGAUCAGACUUGGUGUUUUACGAUUAUCUUCUCUUCUUGAGUUGUGCACUCGUAUUUCACUGGGCCAGCAUCGAUUCGGAUGGCAAGAUAAUGGCAGUUGAAUGUGGCUUCACUUCGGUGGAGUGUUAUAGCUUCUGCUGAUAUUGCCUGUCUGGAUCGAGGGCUGCGUCUUUUGACUAGGAUGCUGGCGUAAUGAUCUAAUGCCGCCCGUCUUGA
rnacentral:rRNA from 1 species